rnacentral:rRNA from 1 species
GAUGAACGCUGGCGGCGUGCCUAAUACAUGCAAGUCGAGCGAACGGACGAGAAGCUUGCUUCUCUGAUGUUAGCGGCGGACGGGUGAGUAACACGUGGAUAACCUACCUAUAAGACUGGGAUAACUUCGGGAAACCGGAGCUAAUACCGGAUAAUAUUUUGAACCGCAUGGUUCAAAAGUGAAAGACGGUCUUGCUGUCACUUAUAGACGGAUCCGCGCUGCAUUAGCUAGUUGGUAAGGUAACGGCUUACCAAGGCAACGAUGCAUAGCCGACCUGAGAGGGUGAUCGGCCACACUGGAACUGAGACACGGUCCAGACUCCUACGGGAGGCAGCAGUAGGGAAUCUUCCGCAAUGGGCGAAAGCCUGACGGAGCAACGCCGCGUGAGUGAUGAAGGUCUUCGGAUCGUAAAACUCUGUUAUUAGGGAAGAACAUAUGUGUAAGUAACUGUGCACAUCUUGACGGUACCUAAUCAGAAAGCCACGGCUAACUACGUG